AGUGGCGGACGGGUGAGUAACGCGUGGGUAACCUGCCUCAUACAGGGGGAUAACAGUUAGAAAUGACUGCUAAUACCGCAUAAGACCACAGCACCGCAUGGUGCAGGGGUAAAAACUCCGGUGGUAUGAGAUAGACCCGCGUCUGAUUAGGUAGUUGGUGGGGUAACGGCCUACCAAGCCGACGAUCAGUAGCCGACCUGAGAGGGUGACCGGCCACAUUGGGACUGAGACACGGCCCAA
rnacentral:rRNA from 1 species